GUUUCAAAUUGGGGCUUCAAGCCAUGUUUAUGGUUUGAAAGUUGGUUUUUAAGACAGAUUUUGCCUUUCCAGACAGGGUUACGGUUUCCAGAUAAUGUUUUUUUUUUUUUAACCACGGUUAGUGUUUCAAAGUCGGGUUUCAAACACAUUGAUAAGGUUUCGAAUCGAUCCAGAGUUAGGAUUUCAAGAAAUACUGUCGGUUUUAAGUUUCGAACUCGGGUUUUAAGACUGGGUUAGGAUUUCCACCAAGAUUUAGCCACUUUAGGGAGUCAAGUCAAGAUAAGCCUUUCAAAUGAGGGUUUCAAAAACACGGUUAGGGGUUCAAACCAGGGUUUUCAAAAUGGGCUUAGACUUCCAAACAAGGGUUAGCGUAUCAAGGUACGGUUUCGAGCAAUGUCAACGCCAAGCCCACAGUUAAGAGUCCCAAAGUAGGGUUUCAAAACAGAGUUAGGAUUACCAAUUAGGGUUUUAAAAGAGGAUUAGGCUUCCAAAUCAAGAGUUCCAAACAGAGGGUACAAAUCAACAGUGUGGUCGUUGUUGGUGCAUGUCAAUAAUUUUCCAGUGACCUCAUCUCAACCCGCUCAGCGCAGACAGCACAUCGCAAACGCACACGGACGGACGGACGGACGGACGACACGGACGUGGAGGCAGACAGAAGGCCAGCUGAGGGCCCUCGCCGCGAGAAUGGAAGACUUGAAUGGCGUUCUUCAUUCGUAGUUCGUACUUGAGCUCCUCCCGUUUAAGAGGGAAUGUUUGACGGAAGGCGAUUCCAAACACAGACGUCCCCCCGGAGGCGCUGCAGGUGAUGAUGUCCCCGAGAGGCACCAGGACUCAAAGAAAUCACGAUGCGGCGCAUCCGAAUCAGGACACGUUUCUCCAUUUUGAAGUGAAUUUGACCUCCGGGCAGGACAAAGGGCUGAAAUGUGGGACUCCUCCCUGUGGACCGCACGAGAACGCGGUGCGGCGUGGUGCGGCGUGGGGUGCCUUCAUCUUUUUUCGAGGGCCGACAAGUCAUCCCUCAUGUGUCUUCUCUGCGCUGGAUGUGGUCAGCGUUGCGCUCCGGUCACGUUGGGAUCAGCUGCGCAGCUGCCCGCCUCCGCCGCACUCUGCGCUGAUUUUGGAUGACGCUCGAGCUCGAGGUUAACCACCUCGAGCUUUUAAAUUCAUGCUCUCAUUUCCUGAUAGCAGCGGAAAACAAAAAAGCUGAACCCGCCAGAGUCUACGAGUGUCGCUGAGCCGCUGCAUUAAGACAAAAAAGAUUUGCAUCGAUCGAGUCGGGCUGGAGAAAGAUUUUCUCGCAGAAUGAAUAAAAGUGAGCCGGCUCGCUUUGUGCGCCGUGCGGACAGGAAGUCCUUCCUUCGUGUCGAGGAGAUUCUGACCUCCAUAGCUCUUCCGAAAUGUUAAGAUGUUUUUUUUUUUCAUGUGCAAGAGAGGACAAACAAAGCAAAUUUCGUGGAUAUCACAUUCUAGCUACACCUCCAUCUAACCAUUGAUAUACCGCAUCUACCUAAUACCCUCGGACUAAUCACCAGUCCAUCUAAGCAUGUAUCUGUACCGACCAACCUAGUCCUCUUUAUGUACACAUCUAGCCAUCCAUUCAUCUAUGAGUCACUGAAUGAUUUGGCGGCAACCAGCAGGGAACGCCACUAACUCCGAUCCACACAACAACUACAGCAGUUUGCUCGCUCAACAGGUGGCAGUAGAAAACAUGCUUUUUUAAAAUUGCGUUUUUUUUG